rnacentral:rRNA from 1 species
UACGUAGGGUGCGAGCGUUAAUCGGAAUUACUGGGCGUAAAGCGUGCGUAGGCGGUUCGUUAAGUUCGUCGUGAAAGCCCCGGGCUCAACCUGGGAAUGGCGAUGGAAACUGGCGGGCUGGAGUAUGGCAGAGGGGGGUGGAAUUCCGCGUGUAGCAGUGAAAUGCGUAGAGAUGCGGAGGAACACCGAUGGCGAAGGCAGCCCCCUGGGCCAAUACUGACGCUGAGACGCGAAAGCCAGGGGAGCAAACGGG